CUGAAGAGUAGAGUGUGUGGUCCAGGUUUGAAGUGUUCCCGAGUAACUUGUGCUUAUAACUCAGGACACUUCUGAACUUGGACCAUACAGGUCUCCCUGCUU
rnacentral:miRNA from 1 species